GAAAUGCGAUACGUCAUGCGAAUUGCAGAAACUUGUGAGUCAUCAAAACUUUGAACGCAACUUGCACUUCCGUAAGGGAGUAUGUCUGUUGGAGUGUCUGUUCAUCCCCACUUCCGCCCCCGGGCGGGCAGUGCCGGCCGCUUGUCGUACGCGUUUUUCCUCGGAGAAAAGCGACGGACAAUCGAGUCUAGAUGAAACACCAAUCAACCGAACUCGCCCCUGCUCUUUGCCCAACGAAGGGCCCGGACGACGCGACGUGGGUUUUGACUUUCCGAUUAUUCGGUCUGUCUUUUCACAGCACGCGUCAGCCUCCGAGCUUUCUCCGCAGGUACACCAAAGAGAGCCCCGGCAUACCAUGAGUUCAUCCGAUCGGACCUCCAAUCAGGCAAGAUUACCCGCU
rnacentral:misc_RNA from 1 species